rnacentral:tRNA from 1 species
GGCCUCGAGGUGUUACACGUGGGGUUGCAACCCCCAAGAAGCAGAAAAAUUUUCUGCCGGGGCU